CCAAGCCUUAGUUGACUAGAAAAUGUUGCCUCAGUCCAUCGUCGAAUCAAACUACCGAUUACACCCAUCGUCAUCUCACCUACAUCUACCCAAAACUCAAUCAUUUUCUCACCCAUCCUUGCUGAGAACAGGGAAGUCAGACAUGGCCACGGGAUAGAAGCCAUUGAUAUUCUCAUCUCCAUUCUAAUAUCAAAAAUCAAAGCUUUGGGCUUUGGAGUCUAGAUUGGGAUCAGUUCACUGCUACGGUAAGCUCUUAUGCUAUGCAGUUGGUAUUUUCGAAUUGAUCUAAAUGUUUUUGAAUCAAGGUCUGGAAUUGAGGGAAAGAUAGAGGAGUGGAGCUGGAUUUUGAUCGAAAAACUCUGGCAAGUGAAAGGUUGGAGUUGUGCAAUACGUUAGGUGAAGGAGAGAGAUUUUGGGUGAAGGCUCCUUGACUGGGUAUUGAUCAAAUUCAGGUAAUUACCUUCUUAUUAUGAAUUCAAUUCCUAUUUGGAUUCAAUUGGAGUUAUUAAAGGGAAUUGGUGUUGCGGUAGAGUUGUCUGGAAUGUUUGAAUUCAUAAUCAUGUUUUGAGUUCAAUUGAUUUAAUUAUAGUUGGUUUGUUGAUUGAGAGUUGGAGUUGGAAUAAGUUGGACAUUGGAGAAUUGUUACUGAAGGCUUAAUUAACUUAGUUAGGAUUGUUUUGAUACUUGAAUGAGAUUGCUGUGUGGUGAUUGUAGAUUACGUUGGAAAGCUUGUAUGAAGAUGUUGCUGGGACUUUAUUUCUUGUUGAGAUGAUGAUGUUCUGUUUGGACUUCAUGAGACAAAUUAGCUCAAUUGUUCAAUUGUUUGUUAAUAAUUAAAGUGAGACAAGUUGGCUGGUUAUUUAACAAUUAGAGUGUUAUAUGCUCUUUGUUGGAGUAUGGGUAUAAGCUUUAUUAAAGGUUGCCUGGAGGUAGGGUCAUUCCAUUGUAAAUUAGCUUUGUUGUUCUUGUAAUUCUGGAGUGAAUAAGGGAUACAUAUAUGUAUAAUUGUCUUCUUCUAGGAGUUAAGUUGCAGACGUGAGUGAGUACUUGGCAGAAACUAGAUUACAAUUAGAGGCUUGGUUUGGCAUUGUUUAAGCUAGUGAACCUAAAGGCUUGGUUUGGUCUGGGAAUAUAUUUACGUAAUGUAUGAUUGGUCGAAACGACGACCCCGAGUUCAUAUACCGCACUUGGAGCCUGCAUUGAAGGUGAACCUAGCACUAACAACGCAUUUGAUUUUCAGAAUCUCAUGGCAGUUUUUGAUAGGCAAAGUACUCUAGAGGUGAGAGUGUUGAGCAUGAGUCUUAAUUUGAAGGUUUGCCAAAUGACUUUCUUCAUUUUAUGGUGCAAAGAAACAAAUUUGCAACUAACACUUGCAAAUGAUUUCAUUUACAUCCCUCAUAUAUACUAUAUUUUGUUCCGAUACAGGUAAAGGAGUUUCAGUUUGGCAAAAGUUACUGGAAUCUCAAAUUAGGUUCUCCUCUGUUGCUACCUUUUUUUGUUUUUGGGUUUGAAGCUUCUUUUGCAUUUCCACUGAGUCAUAUCAAAAAAAUUUGACAGGAUGAUUGGUGAUUGGAAAUUGAACGACUGCAUGCAUUCUAUGUUUUCUUCUGUGUAGUAAUUUCGAAAUAUUUAGGUUAGCACUUGAAAUUAGUAGCGUUUUUUAUUUAUUUUUAAUAUCUUUGUUCUGUAUUAUGUAUAUAGGGUUUAGAGCUGGUAAGGAAAUUCAAUAACCUUAACAAUGAGUCUGAAAUUCAAUUGUGGAGUGGUUUCCAAUUAAAUUUUAAACUCAUUGAAAGUGGUUGAAUUUCUUUGUAGCUGUCUUUACGGUAACCUUGGAGAUCAUGUGUUGCUAUUGCUUUGUUUCGAGUUUUCAACAAUCUUAGUUAUUCCGGACAAAUUACAAUUUUCAUUUGGUGUUUUAGGACUGAGGUAUUGGUUUUCAGAUUUUAGAUAGUUUUUCGGUUCUUUAUUUGGAUAAUUUUGCAUUUCUAACUUUGAAUCAGCUCUGGUAUCCCUACACCUGAAUACAGAUCGAGGCUUCUUUUUUUCCUUCCCUAAUUUCGUUGUCCUCAUCCUGACGCCUUUAUCAUCUAAAAACUUCACUUGAUUGAAACCAAAUUUCUAUUUUUUGAGCCUGACUGUAUGGUCCUGAGCUUUGUUUUUGUGUAUAUUUAUGUAAUUUAUGAUGUUGGUUGCUAUUAAUUUUUUUGUUUUUGUUUUUUUACUCCUUCAUAUGUAUAUCUGAAUGCAUCUACUUUAUGUUUUAGCUCAAGUAAAUCCCCCAAUAUUAGUGGUGUUAGUGUUAAGAUGGGUGCAUAUGCUUUGGGAAUUAUUUUUUGUAGUGAUUCAUUAACAUGGAAUUGUUCUUAUAAGGAAAUUGAGACAGCAAAGAAAACUAAAUGUAGAAAUUCGUCAUUGCAAAAUAACUACAGUUUUAAAUAUAGAAGCAUGUGUUGUGAGUGGAAACCAUUAUUUAGACUACUAGAUUCCUUUUUGCUCAUUUGUAAUAGUGGUAUUAACUAGGAAAGAGGAAGAGGUUGAGCAGGAUGAGUUUUUGGGGGUAAGUUCUGUUUUUCUUUUGUCGUCUUCUUCUUUGAAGGCUUCCAAUUUGUCUAAUUUCUGUUAAGUGUGGUUUUGUUGCAGUUGACUACCAUUUGAUUGGAUCCAGUGGAUUAUUGUCUGAUAAAGAGCGUACGGAUUAAUUCCUGGAUGCUAUGAUGCCUCGACAGAGGAGGAUUAGAGGAGAUAUGUCUUUGCAAAAUGCUGAAAACACUACAUUCGAAGUUUGUACUAGGAAACGAAACAAAAUGAGACCUGGUACAAAAUUGUUUGAUGUUAUUGGAAAGCCUAUCAGCAACAACAAAUCUCCUCCUUUAUACAAUGAAAGAUUCAAGUCAGUAGGUUUCGAGAAGUUCAUGUAAAUUCUUUUUGGUAGGAUUCAAGUUAGUAGUUUGAGAGUCAUGUGACAACAUUGCAAAUUUUCUCCACACUUACUCAUCAACUGACUUUUCUGGAUUUAGAUUCAUAUUUGUAUCGUUAUAUAUGCUUAGACCUUAGUAUAGACCUGGAAUAAAAAUAUCUUUGGCAAGGUGUUCUUGCUCUUUACUAUAUAUAAAAUGUAGAAAAAAACUCCUUCCCCGCAGCAUCGUGCGGGUGAGUUAUCUAGUGUAUAUAAAAUUUCAUUGAAAUCGGAGUAGUUUAGGCUAGGUUUUUAUUUUCGUUUUGGUUUCUGGUCAGAGUCGUAGUUAAUCUGUUCUUUUUUUUUUCUUUCUAUUUUUCUUUUCUCUGAAGCUCAUUACAUUUAGUUGUGAAUCGCUAUGGCUCUUAGACUCCUUUCUUCCUGUGCAGGUGUAAAAUUUCUCCUUAACAGGAGUUCUGGAGGAUUAUGGGAAGUUGCUGCACUAAAUUGUUUACCUCUGAGCCUUGAUGCUCGAUGGGAUAUCUUGUUAAUCUCUAGUUCAGUUUUCCCUGAUCCCUUCCUAUUAUUUAUAAAUUGUUAUCUCUGAGCCUUGGUGCUCGAUGUGCAGAUUUCACUCUCUUUAUGGCGUGCAAGUGAAAACAUAAAUGUGGUUUUGCUCAUAUUUGCAUAAGAGUGAGAAAGAAAAGAAAAUUACUAUUACCCAGUGGAGAAUGCUGAUGUUGUCUGGGCAGAGUGGGCGAAGUAUGUUCUUAAGUUCAAAGAUAACUAGUGUGUAGGUUAAUUAGUAGUUGGGGAUAUGUAGCAUCAACAUUUAGACAUGCAUAGUUGAUAUAUAUAUAUAUAUAUAUAUAUAUCUGCUAGCUAUUUUGCUAUGUUGUCUAGUGCUUCUGAAUUAUUUAGCAAGCAGUGCUGCAUGCAUAUAUUUUGAUGGCUGCUCAGAUUAGUAGAUAUGAGCCUUUUAUAACUAAUGCUCAUCAUGAUUAGGUUUGUGUACAUGAGACAAUGGUGGAUUAAUGGAAAUUGCAAUGAAUGAUUUUGGAUGUGGA